rnacentral:rRNA from 1 species
AUAAGCGGAGGAAAAGAAACCAACAGGGAUUGCCUCAGUAACGGCGAGUGAAGCGGCAACAGCUCAAAUUUGAAAUCUGGCCCUUUCAGGGUCCGAGUUGUAAUUUGCAGAGGAUGCUUCGGGUACGGCCGCGGCGUAAGUCCCCUGGAACGGGGUGUCAUAGAGGGUGAGAAUCCCGUCUUCCGUCGCCGGUUCCGUGCCCGUGUGAAGCUCCUUCGACGAGUCGAGUUGUUUGGGAAUGCAGCUCUAAAUGGGUGGUAAAUUUCAUCUAAAGCUAAAUACUGGCUGGAGACCGAUAGCGCACAAGUAGAGUGAUCGAAAGGUUAAAAGCACCUUGAAAAGGGAGUUAAAUAGCACGUGAAAUUGUUGAAAGGGAAGCGCUUGCAACCAGACUCGGCCACAGGGGCUCAACGGGUGCGUGUCACCCGUGCGCUCCCCUGUAGUCGGGCCAGCAUCAGUUUUGGCGGCCGGUCAAAGGCCCCUGGAAGGUGUCGUCUCUCGGGACGUCUUAUAGCCAGGGGUGCAAUGCGGCCUGCCGGGACUGAGGAACGCGCUUCGGCACGGAUGCUGGCAUAAUGGUUGUAAACCGCCCGUCUUGAAACACG